rnacentral:rRNA from 1 species
AUUGAACGCUGGCGGCAUGCCUUACACAUGCAAGUCGAAAGGCAGCACGGGUGCUUGCACCUGGUGGCGGGUGGCGAACGGGUGAGUAAUACAUCGGAACGUACCUUAUCGUGGGGGAUAACGCAGCGAAAGCAGUGCUAAUACCGCAUACGCCCUGAGGGGGAAGGCGGGGGAUCGAAAGACCUCGCGCGAUUAGAGCGGCCGAUGCCUUAUUAGCUUGUUGCUGGGGUAAAAGCCCACCAAGGCGACGAUCAGUAGCUGGUCUGAGAGGACGAUCAGCCACACUGGGACUGAGACACGGCACAGACUCCUACGGGAGGCAGCAGUGGGGAAUUUUGGACAAUGGGGGCAACCCUGAUCCAGCAAUGCCGCGUGAGUGAAGAAGGCCUUCGGGUUGUAAAGCUCUUUUGUCAGGGAAGAAACACCGGCUCUAACACAGUCCGGGAAUGACGGUACCUGAAGAAUAAGCACCGGCUAACUACGUGCCAGCCGCCGCAGUAA